GUACAUUUUAGCAAUGUGUAUCAGGUUUCAGUAGACAAAAAUACCCUUAUAUAUCAUGAAUUCUAAGUUUUAAGGUUAAGGGUAUUUUAAUAAUUUUCAUUCUAAAAAUUAAAAAAAUAAAAAAGAAACCCCCAAACCCUUACCCAUCUCUCUCAUUCCUCUCAACCAUUUCUCUUUCAUCUCUUUCACUCCAACCUUUUCUUUGUCAUCCCUACUCUAGCUCCAAUUGAAAAAAAUCAGAACCACUUACCUUAUUUUAAUAAUUUUCAUUCUCAAAACUAAAAAAAGAAAACCCCAAACCCUUACUCACCUCCUUCAUUCCUCUCAACCCUUUCUCCUUCAUCUCUCUCACUCAAACAUUUUCUCUGUCAUCUCUGCACUAGCCCCAACUAAAAAAACAUUCAUUAUUAAACGAUUUACUUUUGUAAAGAGUUGAGUCAUAUUCACCUUUCGAAAAAAGUUCAUUCAAAAUCUCUUUAAUUUCAUUAUCUUCCCUAUAUAUAUUACAGCCGAC
rnacentral:lncRNA from 1 species